GAACAAUCCAUGUCAGAUCCCACCUCCCACAUCCAAGCUCAUGGGCUUGGACUACUACAUGGAUUCUUUGGCACUCACUCAGGAGCUGGGCUUUCCAACAUCCCAAGUGCCAUGGCUUAGAAGUGAGGGAGCGCAAUGAAUGUUUCAGAGUUGGGAGAUGACCAGAGUCACCACAACACUGCAAAGUGGUUCAAAGAGAAGACUGUUGUUAUUGGCUGCAUCUGAGAAACCCACCAAGGUGCCCUGUGAAGUUUUUACCUGACUAAUGAGCACAUCAUUUACCCUGCUCCAGGCAUGGCCUGGGACUGGGAUGCUUCAUGCAGUUCCAGCCAUUAGGGAGGAGAGCCCUUUCUCCAGGAGGAAAACCACAAUUUUUCAUUGCAUGAGCUGGAAAACCAAGCACCUACAUUCAUCUGCUUCUUUACUUACUCCUUCAGUGCUGUUGGAGGAUCUUCAGGUACCUCU
rnacentral:lncRNA from 1 species